UAUGGUGGCUAUAGCUGCGGGGUUCCACCUCUUCCCAUUCCGAACAGAGAAGUUAAGACCGCUUGCGCCGAUGGUACUGCAUUUCGUGGGAGAGUAGGUCGCCGCCUUUU
rnacentral:rRNA from 1 species